GACAGAGGCCACGAACGUUGUUCGGAAUCACUGGGCAUAAAGCGCACGUAGGCGGCUGGGUCCGUCCGAUGUGAAAGCCCCCGGCUCAACCGGGGAAUUGCAUCGGAUACAGCCCGGCUUGAGGACGGUUGGGGUGAGUGGAACUCCUGGUGGAGCGGUGAAAUGCGUAGAUAUCAGGAGGAACACCGGUGGCGAAGGCGGGUCUCUGGGCCGAUACUGACGCUGAGGAGCGAAAGCGUGGGGAGCGAACAGG
rnacentral:rRNA from 1 species